UACAUACUCCCUCCGUCCCAAAAUUCUUGUCUUAGAUUUGUCUAGAUACGGAUGUAUCUAAUACUAAAACGUGACUUGAUACAUCCGUAUUUAGACAAAUCUAAGACAAGAAUUUUGGGACGGAGGGAGUACAUA
rnacentral:pre_miRNA from 1 species